GAUGAACGCUGGCGGCGUGCCUAAUACAUGCAAGUCGAGCGAACGGACGAGAAGCUUGCUUCUCUGAUGUUAGCGGCGGACGGGUGAGUAACACGUGGAUAACCUACCUAUAAGACUGGGAUAACUUCGGGAAACCGUAGCUAAUACCGGAUAUAUUUUGAACCGCAUGGUUCAAAAGUGAAAGACGGUCUUGCUGUCACUUAUAGAUGGAUCCGCGCUGCAUUAGCUAGUUGGUAAGGUAACGGCUUACCAAGGCAACGAUGCAUAGCCGACCUGAGAGGGUGAUCGGCCACACUGGAACUGAGACACGGUCCAGACUCCUACGGGAGGCAGCAGUAGGGAGUCUUCCGCAAUGGGCGAAAGCCUGACGGAGCAACGCCGCGUGAGUGAUGAAGGUCUUCGGAUCGUAAAACUCUGUUAUUAGGGAAGAACAUAUGUGUAAGUAACUGUGCACAUCUUGACGGUACCUAAUCAGAAAGCCACGGCUAACUACGUG
rnacentral:rRNA from 1 species